GUCCAGAUUGCUCAUUGCCUUCCCAUAAGCGCACCAGCUGACCAGGAGCAACAUCUUCAGUUCCUUCAGAAUGCAGAGUCUUUGACCUCCUCAUAAAGCCACACCUCAAGGGGACGCUGGCCCUACCUUCAGUCAAGGCACGUAUUAAAUUUCCUAUUGACUACCCAUAUUCACCACCUACCUUCAGAUUCUUGACCAAAAUGUGGCACCCCAACAUCUAUGAUCCUUCAUAGCGAGGGUUACCUGUUGCUGUGCGCAGACUGGGCUUUUGGGGCGGAGAACUUAUCCACUUGAUUUGGACUGGCUUCCUGUCAGGGGUUACAGCUGAGCAUUCGAGCCUCUUGGAAUAAAUCCAAGUGCUGGACUUGAACAUCCUAUCGCAGCAACAGUGGG
ensembl:lncRNA